UAGGGAAUCUUCCGCAAUGGGCGAAAGCCUGACGGAGCAACGCCGCGUGAGUGAUGAAGGUCUUCGGAUCGUAAAACUCUGUUAUUAGGGAAGAACAAAUGUGUAAGUAACUAUGCACGUCUUGACGGUACCUAAUCAGAAAGCCACGGCUAACUACGUGCCAGCAGCCGCGGUAAUACGUAGGCGGCAAGCGUUAUCCGGAAUUAUUGGGCGUAAAGAGCGCGUAGGCGGUUUUUUAAGUCUGAUGUGAAAGCCCACGGCUCAACCGUGGAGGGUCAUUGGAAACUGUGAAACUUGAGUGCAGAAGAGGAAAGUGGAAUUCCAUGUGUAGCGGUGAAAUGCGCAGAGAUAUGGAGGAACACCAGUGGCGAAGGCGACUUUCUGGUCUGUAACUGACGCUGAUGGGCGAAAGCGUGGGGAUCAAACAGG
rnacentral:rRNA from 1 species